UAUGUGAUCGUCUCUCGCAUAUCAAUAAGCGGAGGAAAAGAAACUAACAAGGAUUCCCCUAGUAACGGCGAGUGAAGCGGGAAGAGCUCAAAUUUGAAAUCUUAAAGGGUUUCCCUUUACGAAUUGUAGUUUAAAGAAGUGUUUUCUGUUGAGGUUUUGGUAAAAGUUCUUUGGAAUAGGACAUCAUAGAGGGUGAGAAUCCCGUAUUUGACCUUUACUUUCAACUUUGUGAUACACUUUCAAAGAGUCGGAUUGUUUGGGAAUGCAGUCCAAAAUGGGUGGUAAAUUUCAUCUAAAGCUAAAUAUUGGCGAGAGACCGAUAGCGAACAAGUACCGUGAGGGAAAGAUGAAAAGAACUUUGAAAAGAGAGUUAAACAGUACGUGAAAUUGUCAAAAGGGAAGCGUUUGACACCAGUGUUGUUUUUCUGAAAAUCAAUUAAAGAACUGUUUAUGCUAAGCUGUUUAGACUUUAUCAGCUAACUGUUUAGUUUUGAGCUUUUCUUUAAUGCACUUUUCAGUUAACAAGUCAACAUCAAUUUCUUUUGCUGUAAAAAAGCUUGAGGAAGGUGGCUUGAGAUUCGUCUUAAGUGUUUAUAGCCUCUUGCCUAUGCAGUCGGAGAGAUUGAGGUCUGCAGCGUAGAUCCUUCGGGGCUAAGUGCAUUUGUGCUAAGUUAUAGCAUUUUAUAGACAACUUGUUGACUAUGAUUUGUCUUGUAGCUUACUCGCUUAUGUUAUUUUACCUACGCUUAGGAUGUUGAACGCGCACAGAGUCUC
rnacentral:rRNA from 1 species